rnacentral:rRNA from 1 species
AGUGAACGCUGGCGGUAGGCCUAACACAUGCAAGUCGAACGGCAGCACAGUAAGAGCUUGCUCUUACGGGUGGCGAGUGGCGGACGGGUGAGGAAUACAUCGGAAUCUACUUUUUCGUGGGGGAUAACGUAGGGAAACUUACGCUAAUACCGCAUGCGACCUACGGGUGAAAGCAGGGGAUCUUCGGACCUUGCGCGAUUGAAUGAGCCGAUGUCGGAUUAGCUAGUUGGCGGGGUAAAGGCCCACCAAGGCGACGAUCCGUAGCUGGUCUGAGAGGAUGAUCAGCCACACUGGAACUGAGACACGGUCCAGACUCCUACGGGAGGCAGCAGUGGGGAAUAUUGGACAAUGGGCGCAAGCCUGAUCCAGCCAUACCGCGUGGGUGAAGAAGGCCUGCGGGUUGUAAAGCCCUUUUGUUGGGAAAGAAAAGCAGCAGGUUAAUACCCCGCUGUUCUGACGGUACCCAAAGAAUAAGCACCGGCUAACUUCGU